GUAAGAAGUGUGGCUUUCUUUGCUUCGACACUCAUCCAUCCAAUAUCCUGACCUAAAAAUAUUAUUUUCCAUGUGAUCUUGCAAUUUCGAGUUUUACCACAGAACUAAGUAGCUUUUACUAUAGCUAUGAAAAGGCACACUUCCUAGAGGAACAUUUAGAUCAGAUGUUUUGAUGUAAAAUACUUGUCUUUCGUAAGUAAAAUUAUAGUGCAUUUUAUUUUUCUUAGGAUAGUUAAUUCUGCCAUUAAAUAGAUUGUACUUACUUUGGUUCAAACGGCUGAAAAAAAAAGAGAAUUUAAAAUUUGCUAUUUUUCCUAUAAAGUCACGGAUAAUCCACUGACCCCGAGGAAGGGCAGAAGUGCUCUGUUUGGCUCUCCUGCUGCAGAGAGCUUUGCAGGGAUUAUUUCUCAUCGCUGAGUGACAGCUUGUUUCUGUCUCUCUCUGUUAGGAUAUUUUGCUCGUGUCCAUGGCAUCAGGCAGCUCAUAAAGGCAUUUCUACAGGAGACAGAAUGUCACUGCCAAAUUAUAAACCUGGGGGCUGGGAUGGAUACCGCCUUCUGGACAUUAAAGGAUGAGGGUCUUCUCCCAAGGAAAUAUUUUGAAGUUGACUUUCCGGUGAUAGUCACGAGAAAGCUACAGAGCAUCAAAUUCAAGUCUCUCCUAUCAAAAACCAAUUUAGACUUACAUUCAGAGGAGACACUUCAAAUGGGAUUGUAGGAAACAUAUGUAUAUGUGCAUAUCUGCAGGAACUGUUUGCUCAAAGAAUUGGCCAUUAUGAAUUUUAGCUACUGCCCAACUGUUCUUCAAGACCUUUUUAUGAAUUCCUACUUUCACAAAGGCAAAUCCGCCCGCCGUACAAACUAUUGGGACUUCCUGGCUGAUUGUGGUGUGGAUGUUGUAAGUACCAAUUUGCUGUGUGCUUCCCCGCUCCUUCUCCUGUUCCUCUUUAUCCCCGCUCCUUGUUCUCUUCCCCUUUAUCAAUAAACUCUGAUUGCUUAAACA